ACGAACGCUGGCGGCGUGCCUAAUACAUGCAAGUCGAGCGGAAUGAUGAAGAAGCUUGCUUCUUCUGAUUUUAGCGGCGGACGGGUGAGUAACACGUGGGCAACCUGCCUUGUAGAUUGGGAUAACUCCGGGAAACCGGGGCUAAUACCGAAUAAUCCAUUUUGCUUCAUGGCGAGAUGUUGAAAGACGGUUUCGGCUGUCACUAUAAGAUGGGCCCGCGGCGCAUUAGCUAGUUGGUAGGGUAAUGGCCUACCAAGGCGACGAUGCGUAGCCGACCUGAGAGGGUGAUCGGCCACACUGGGACUGAGACACGGCCCAGACUCCUACGGGAGGCAGCAGUAGGGAAUCUUCCACAAUGGACGAAAGUCUGAUGGAGCAACGCCGCGUGAGUGAAGAAGGUUUUCGGAUCGUAAAACUCUGUUGUAAGGGAAGAACACGUACGAGAGUAACUGCUCGUACCUUGACGGUACCUUAUUAGAAAGCCACGGCUAACUACGUG
rnacentral:rRNA from 1 species